UCCACCUCGUCGAUAGAGGCUCCACGUUUUAUCAUUAAUGCAAGCUGUUCUACAUCACCAGCUUUCACUGCCUCAUGUACACUGGUGCUCUAAGAAGUCUUGAAGAGGCAGGUUGUUGUUCUGCAAGUCAAGCAUACACAGAAAUAUUGGUCUUAAGUUAUUAGAGCCUCAGUUUUCCUGCCCGUGGAGAAGAAAUUGAGGCAACAGUUCAAAUAGUUAUAAAUGUGAGAUCAAAAAUGUUAAAGCAUAUCAAUGAGUUGCUGCUCAAAGGUGCCUGGCGUACAUAAAAGCAGAAAUUAUGAUGAAAACAGCUGACGUUGUUUACCAGUACUUAUACCUGUUCCCAUGUAGUCUGUAGCAUGAAAGUAAUGCUUGGCCAGAUUCAGCACUGCCACAGAGAGGAAAAGAGGGGGUUAAACUGUUUCAUUAAGCAAAGCUGAGUGUUGUAUCACACCCUGGUGUACCAUCACUUCACUCCCACUCCCCUCAGCGCCAGGCUGUACCACUGCCCUGCACAGAGGCAGCAAAACAGUGCAUGAACCAACACCAGCUGCAACUCAGAACAGCUCAUGUUGGAAGGGACCUCCUGGGGUCCAUGUUUUUAAAUAGAACUUAAGUACAUGCAGCA